rnacentral:rRNA from 1 species
GCAAGUCGAGCGCGCCCUUCGGGUGGAGCGGCGGACGGGUUAGUAACGCGUGGGAACAUACCCUUUUCUGCGGAAUAGCCUUUGGAAACGAAGAGUAAUACCGCAUACGCCCUUUUGGGGAAAGAUUUAUUGGUGAAGGAUUGGCCCGCGUAAGAUUAGAUAGUUGGUGGGGUAAUGGCCUACCAAGUCUACGAUCUUUAGCUGGUUUUAGAGGAUGAUU